rnacentral:rRNA from 1 species
CCUUCUCUCGCCCCUCACACCUUUCUUCCCCACCGCUACUCCUGCCGGAAUCCGUGAUCCCGGCGCGAGCAUCUCACGCCCACUUCCCAUCAUCUCCCAGGAUCCAGCCUCCGCACGCUCGCCGGAGCCGCCAAGCUACAACCAAGCACGCGGUGCCCGAUUCGCCGAGUGCGGCGGUGGCCAGGCCCAGAUCUGCGAGAUCGCCACCGACCACGCUCCGCCUCCUCCGAGUAAUGCUUCUGGGAUCCCUCGGGCUCGGACGCCGGUAGUGCUGAGCGGCAUCUAGUCGGCGGCGUGCUCCCGUGGCGGCGACUUGGGCGAGAUGCAGCGAAACGGGGUGAUGGAAUGCACAGCGUGCCGCUCCCGGCUGGUGGCGCCGAGCCCGCGGAGCGUGUCCAGGGCGUACGACAAGCACCACAACAAGAUAACGUCCAAGUUCCGUGCGCUCAAAUUCCUCCUCGUCGUCGGCGACUGCAUGCUCGUCGGCCUCCAGCCCAUCCUAGUGUUCAUGUCAAAAGUAGAUGGGAAGUUCCAGUUCAGCCCCAUCAGUGUUAACUUUUUGACGGAGGUUGCAAAAGUUAUCUUUGCUAUCGUGAUGCUAAUUAUUCAGUCUCGAAAGCAAAAGGUUGGGGAAAAACCACUUCUGGCACGUUCAACCCUUAUACAGGCAGCCCGCAAUAAUGUACUCCUAGCUGUCCCUGCACUUCUAUAUGCCAUCAACAAUUACCUUAAAUUUAUCAUGCAGUUGUAUUUCAAUCCUUCAACUGUGAAAAUGCUAAGCAACCUAAAGGUACUGGUCAUAGCUGUUCUUCUGAAAUUUAUAAUGAGAAGGAGGUUCUCUGUUAUUCAGUGGGAAGCUCUUGCUCUAUUACUUAUUGGGAUCAGCAUCAAUCAACUUCGAACUGCACCUGCGGGCGAUACAGCAUUUGGUCUUCCUAUCACUGCUAUCGCAUACAUCUAUACACUGAUUUUUGUAACUGUUCCAUCACUAGCUUCUGUCUACAACGAGUAUGCAAUGAAAAGUCAAGAUACUAGUAUUUAUCUUCAGAAUUUAUUUCUGUAUGGAUAUGGUGCAAUAUUCAACUUCCUCGGCAUCCUUGGGACGGCCUUAUUCCAAGGGCCCGAGAAUUUUAAUAUCCUUCAAGGGCAUUCAAGGGCUACGAUGUUUCUCAUAUGUAACAAUGCUGCGCAAGGCAUUCUUUCUUCAUUCUUCUUCAAGUAUGCAGAUACAAUUUUGAAGAAGUAUUCCUCAACUGUUGCCACAAUUUUUACUGGUCUAGCUUCUGCUGCUUUUCUGGGACAUACCUUGACUAUUAACUUUCUCCUGGGCAUAUCAGUGGUGUUUAUUUCAAUGCAUCAGUUCUUCUCACCUAUAGCUAAAGUCAAAGGCGACAAACCAGGUGAAUUAUUGGAGUUGCAAGAUACACAGAAUCAUCGGUCAUCUGAUUCUUCUUUUGUAAAUAUGACUGCUGGUGCUGCUGAGGACGCUAGCCAUCAGCUUGGAACUGAUGAGAGGCAACAACUGUUGCCAAUUUGAAACGUAUAUUUUGUAGGUAGGAUAGAAGACACUUUUUCCAGGUGGUUCCAACAGUUGGGGGACAGCAGAUUUUGUGUGGUGCUGCGAGUGAAAUAAACUACUGUACACUGUAAAGGCAAAGACAGAAGUUACAAAUGUGUUCCCUUUUCCAUUUCAUUCUUUUGGAGGGGGUGCGUCCGUGCGUGGCCAGGUGGCGCAUGAUAACUUGGAUAGUAAGGAUAUAUUAUCUCCACAGGAAGUCCCCAAUACGAUACACAUAGAAAUUCAUUUUUCCCUGGAGCAUGUUGCGUACAGUCAAAAUGAGGUAUUCUUUUGUACGGAAUUUUUGAGCUACCGAUCAUUAUAACAAUUCGUUAAUACUUGGUUCUUCUGGUGCUUAUAUGGUGACCGUCUGAAUCCUUUUUUUUUUUUGGUGUUGUAAGAGGUUGAAGUCGAUCUUCAUAAAAUAGCACUGUUUCAUGUUUGAACCUAAGAACCGUUGUUACUCAGUAGGACAGGAAGUCAGAAUUACUCCCUCCGAUCC